GAUGAACGCUGGCGGCGUGCCUAAUACAUGCAAGUCGAGCGAACAGACGGGGAGCUUGCUCCUCUGACGUUAGCGGCGGACGGGUGAGUAACACGUGGAUAACCUACCUAUAAGACUGGGAUAACUUCGGGAAACCGGAGCUAAUACCGGAUAAUAUAUUGAACCGCAUGGUUCAAUAGCGAAAGACGGUUUUGCUGUCACUUAUAGAUGGAUCCGCGCCGCAUUAGCUAGUUGGUAAGGUAACGGCUUACCAAGGCAACGAUGCGUAGCCGACCUGAGAGGGUGAUCGGCCACACUGGAACUGAGACACGGUCCAGACUCCUACGGGAGGCAGCAGUAGGGAAUCUUCCGCAAAGGGCGAAAGCCUGACGGAGCAACGCCGCGUGAGUGAUGAAGGUCUUCGGAUCGUAAAACUCUGUUAUUAGGGAAGAACAAAUGUGUAAGUAACUAUGCACGUCUUGACGGUACCUAAUCAGAAAGCCACGGCUAACUACGUG
rnacentral:rRNA from 1 species